rnacentral:rRNA from 1 species
AUGCUUGUCUAUGAAUUUCUCCCAAAAGGAAACCUUGAUGGUAUACUUCACAACAACAACAAGGCUGCAACUCUCAAUUUGGAUGUGCGUUUAAGUAUUGCUGCAUCAGCAGCAGAUGGUCUUGCUUAUAUGCAUUCACAAACCAGUACCAAAAUCCUACAUGGUGAUGUUAAGCCGGCGAAUAUACUCUUGGAUGACAACUUCAUGCCAAAGAUAUCAGACUUUGGCAUAUCAAGAUUGAUUGCAAGAGACAAACAACACACAGAUGCAAUCAUUGGUGACAAGAGUUAUAUGGAUCCAGUAUAUAAGGCAACAGGACUACUCACAGAAAAAAGUGACGUCUACAGUUUUGGGGUCGUGAUUUUGGAACUUAUAAGUAGGAAAAGGGCCACAUAUUCUAACAACCAUAGCUUGGUAAGGAGUUUCCUUGAAGCUCAUAAAGAGGGCAGGAGGGCAACCAACUUGUUCGACGAAGAAAUUGCAGCGACAAGCAAAUUAGAACUUCUUGAUAGUCUGGCAAGGAUCGCUGUUGAAUGUCUUAACCCCGAUGUGGAUCAAAGACCAUCAAUGAUAGAGGUUGCAGAGCGCCUUCUCCUACUAAACCGGUCUCAUAGGACAUAA